rnacentral:rRNA from 1 species
UACGUAGGGUGCAAGCGUUGUCCGGAAUCAUUGGGCGUAAAGAGCGCGCAGGCGGCUUGGCAAGUCGGGUGUGAAAUCCCGGGGCUCAACCCCGGGACUGCAUUCGAUACUGUCAGGCUAGGGGUAGGUAGGGGAGAUCGGAAUUCCUGGUGUAGCGGUGAAAUGCGCAGAUAUCAGGAGGAACACCGGUGGCGAAGGCGGAUCUCUGGGCCUUACCUGACGCUCAGGCGCGAAAGCUAGGGGAGCGAACAGG